CACAUGCAAGUCGAACGGUUUGUAGCAAUACAGCAGUGGCAGACGGGUGAGUAACACGUGGGAACCUUCCUAGGGGUACGGAACAACUCAAGGGAAACUUGAGCUAAUACCGUAUACGUCCGUGAGGAGAAAGAUUUAUCGCCCUUAGACGGGCCCGCGUCGGAUUAGCUAGUUGGUGGGUAACGGCCUACCAAGGCGACGAUCCGUAGCUGAUCUUAGAGGAUGAUCAGCCACACUGGGACUGAGACACGGCCCAGACUCCUACGGGAGGCAGCAGUGGGAAUCUUGGACAAUGGGCGCAAGCCUGAUCCAGCCAUGCCGCGUGAGUGAAGAAGGUCUUCGGAUUGUAAAGCUCUUUUGCCAGGGACGAUAAUGACGGUACCUGAAGAAUAAGCCCCGGCAAACUUCGUG
rnacentral:rRNA from 1 species